rnacentral:tRNA from 2 species
GCGAGCGUAGCUCAAUGGUAGAGCACUUCCUUGCCAAGGAAGAUGUUGUGGGUUCAAGUCCCAUCGCUCGCU